CAUGCAACAAAACAGUAUUCUUAAUUAUUUGUUUGUAAAUUCCCGCAGCUAUCCUUCUUUCUCUACUAUUUCACUCUCUUUUAUUCUACAGAUUAGCUCUAGGACAACAAAAAUAUGGGCAUAAUAUUCUUCGACAUUUUCCACAACAGAAAAAGUUCGCCUUCCAUCCUUCUCUCUUGCCCACCACUCUUCCUCUAUUGUUAGGGAUGAGUAAAUGCAUUUGCCUUCAC
rnacentral:misc_RNA from 1 species